rnacentral:rRNA from 1 species
GACGAACGCUGGCGGCGUGCUUAACACAUGCAAGUCGAACGGAAAGGCCCUGCUUUUGUGGGGUGCUCGAGUGGCGAACGGGUGAGUAACACGUGAGUAACCUGCCCUUGACUUUGGGAUAACUUCAGGAAACUGGGGCUAAUACCGGAUAGGAGCUCCUGCUGCAUGGUGGGGGUUGGAAAGUUUCGGCGGUUGGGGAUGGACUCGCGGCUUAUCAGCUUGUUGGUGGGGUAGUGGCUUACCAAGGCUUUGACGGGUAGCCGGCCUGAGAGGGUGACCGGCCAGAAGGGGACAGAGAUGCGGCCGAGACUCACGCGGGAUGCAGCAGUGGGGAAUGGGGGAAGAUGGGCGGAGGACUGAAGACGCAACGCGGCGGGGGGGAUGACGGACUUAGGGUUGUAAACAGAGAACGCCUGUGACGAAGCGUGAGUGACGGUAAUGGGUAAAGAAGAACAGGCUAAGUACGUG